GUGAGCUCAUGCAGGGCGGCCCAUGAGAAAAGGUCUGGGAAUCUGGGGGCCUAGUGUGUGGUAUGUGAGCCAGCGGGAGCGGCUGGGGAAGCUAUGGAGAGGGAAGUGGGAGGUGGAGCUGGAGUGAAGUGCGGGGGCAGUUGGGUGGCUGCUGGGGGAGAGGGUUGGGAGAUGAGGCCCUGGAGGUGCACAAGGUUGAGGAGCGGGAUACUGGCCCCUCAGGGCUGAGCGGGACUAAACAGCUUGCAGGGGAAUUGGGAAGUGCAGGGGCUGGUGGGGAGGGGGGAAUUCAGGUGAAUUAUAGGACUCCGGAGCUGGGUUGAGCGGCUCCCCUGUGUGGGCCUGGGACACUGUUGGAUUUUGCUUGAGGGAACAGGUAGUUGCCUGUGGGACUAGGGAUGUGUGGGAUGCCAUGUACGGGGGUUUGGCUGCUGUGUGAGAAGAGGUGGAACCUGACCAUUCCCUAGCAUCCCAAAGAAAGAACUGGGUGCCCCCUGCCCGAAUAGUUUGGGCGGGGUAGGGCAGAGUGUUGCUGGGGAGGAGUCUCUGUCUCACCCCCUCACUGUAGUGUGUAAUUGGGCAUCAGGGGCCACACACAGUGCCCUCCUCGUGCUGGCUGGCUGUACCCCUGCCCUGGACCCCAGCCUCUGGGGGUAAUUUGGGGUCGGCACUUCCCAGCCUUUCUGUGCCCCCUCUAGAGCCAGAGUUUGGCUGGGGGUGGCUACCAGCAGGCCCAGCAGCUUCCUGGCCUGUCCCAAGAACAGGUCUGCUCUGAGUCCUCCCCGUGCAGUAGGGGAUGGAGCAUCACUGUGAACCAGUUGGCAUCUCCCCUGGAACCAUCAACUGCUUCUCGCCCAUCCCCAUCUCACUGGGUGGGCCCACUUUCUGGGGCACAAAAAGAUGGCUCCCUCUUCACCCCCCAGUGCCUGGGCCUACAUACAGUGAGGUGGGGGUUCAACUGGGGGACCCUGUGAGCUGCCAGCUGCUGUGGCUAGGGGCCAGCAAGGCACAAAGUCUCUGUCCCCAGCCUGCCCUGGCACCAGCGUUCCUACCCCUUGUUGUCGUGCCCCUGUUUGGGUCAGCCGGGGUGGGCAGCUUUUCCUUGUGGUCAGGCUGCCUGGCUGAGAUGUGCGGGCCUACGGCUCCAGGGCUGGCUUUGGCUCUGUGCUGGCCUCCCCUGCAGUGUGGUGUUGGAGCGCCAUGGGGUGGGGGGGGGCUACGCUGGAGUAAGAAACAAACGGUCUAGCAGAUGGAGCACUGGCACUCUGGUGAAGUGGGGUUCAGCCCUGGCUCUGCCUGCUCCCCAGGCCAUACCUCAGUUUCCCCACCUGUCUAAGGAGGCUGAGGUUUACAGCUGGAGGAGUGGGGCUGUCUUAGCGUAUGGGGGUCCUGGCCAGAACAGGCCCCUCUGUGAGACUGCUGUACGCACCAGUCUCGGCCUCGGACGCUGAAUCCUCGCUUCCGCAGCUCUCUGUCUGUUGGGCCACGGAACUUGCCCUUCCUGUUUGGAGAGGGAAGCUCUGUGUUUUGCUGGUCACGGGACUCCGGGAGCCCAGCCUUGGAGAGGCACGUCAGCCCUGCUGGAGUGGGCAGCGUUCGGGCCUGGGCCGGUCCAUGGCUCCUGUGGGCUGGGAGGGGGCCAGAGGUUGAUGAGCCCACCCUUCGAAUGGGCUCGUGUGUCUGCCUGUGGGAGCAGGGUGUCCCGGGUCCAUGAGCCUGGGGUGGGCUGCAGGUGGUGGGAGCAGAGCAGUGUUCUGCAAGGGGUGUUGGGAGACGAGACACCUGGGAUGAGGUUGCUGCGGAGGAGAGAGGUGCCAUGGCCCCUUCCUUGCCCCCAAGCUGGUGCCUGUAGAGGCGAAAGGCUCCUCGUCCUAGGCCCCGUGUUCCUGACCCCUGCCCCUUUCCUCGCUCCUGCUAGUUCUGGGCUCUGCCAGCGCCAGGGCAGGAUCCCACCUGGGGCUUGCGGAGGCGGGUGCGGCUCUCCAGCUGGCCAGUUCCAUUUGCUCCCAGGGCGGGGUUACCAGUGGCUGGCGGGCUGUCUUGGCGCCCGCCCCAAGGAGGUUGCCUAGCAGUAGCAUGGCCAUGCUCUCCUGCUGGGCACGUCUGAGCAUGGUGCCUGGGCUGACCGUGGGCAGGCCCCGGCUCUCCCCCAGCAGAGAUGAAUGUUGCCUCCCCUGGGCACGUGAGAUGCCCCCUGUGCUGGCUGCUGCGUGGAGCGGCAGGUGGAGGGAGAGCCUGGUGGAAGGAGCCUGCGCUGCUCUGGACUGGGUGCUCUGAGCUGCCAGAACAGCCCAUUGUGAAGUGCCUGUGAUUGGGGGGCACUGCCUGAGGGGCAGGGAAGAGCAGGCGCAGCUCUGUGGGGUUCAUACCCCGGGCUGCUGCUCGCCAUACCUAGCUGCUGGGGCUGUUACGCAGGCCCGGCUCAUCCAGCGCCGAGAUGUACCCACCUCUGGGGUGCUGGGGAAGUGACACACAACGCCACCCGGGGAUGGCUCGUCUGGCGCUGAGACGGGGCAGCUGGAGAACAGUCUGAGUGACACUUUGCCCCUGCUGUGUGCAGCUCCCCCUGGGCUGCGGUAGCUGGUGUUUGCUGCACGGUGCUGAAGUGCUCCUGCCUUGUGCACCUGCCAUGCUCCAGCGUGAAGGCAGCUGCGCCUCUGCACUGGGAGGAGUUCCUGGGCUUCCCUCCUGACGAGCCUGUCUCCCAGAGUUCCCUGCGUGCCGCCCUGCGCUCCCAGAGAGGCGCGUCUCCCCCAGCCAGCGGCAGGGGGAAGAGGGCUG